rnacentral:rRNA from 1 species
AGCUCCAACAGCGUAUAUUAAAGUUGCUGCGGUUAAAAGCUCGUAGUUGGAUUUCUGUCGAAGAUGGUCGGUCCGCUCUACGAGCGUGUAUCUGAUGCGCCUUUGGCAUCCUUGUGGAGAACGUAACUGUGCUUGACUGCAUGGCGCGGAAGUCACAACUUUUACUUUGAGGAAAUUAGAGUGUUCACGGCAGGCACGCGCCCUGAAUAUAUUAGCAUGGAAUAAUAAUGCAGGACUGUAGUUCUAUUUUUGUUGGCUUCUAGGACUAGAGUAAUGAUUGAUAGGGAUAGCUGGGGGCACUUGUAUUAACGCGUCAGAGGUGAAAUUCUUGGAUUGCGCUACGACAAACUACUGCGAAGGCAUUUGUCAAGGAUGUUUU